GUCCUGACAAACAGCAUUAGGACGAUAAUAUUCAGAGGCAGACACUGACUGCCAGGUUGAUUAUAACACUGGUUCAUUGCCAAUUUUGCCAGCCCGAGUCUAUCAGAACGGCCCUCAGAAGCCAUCUGACUGAAGCCCCCAGACAUAGCGGGCUACAGGGUGAUGGAUUGCAGCCGCUGAAAAUAAAAUACAAGUAAACACAUGAAUAAGUAAAGGGAGAGAUAAAUAAAAAGAGCCAGGCAUGCUGUGCCUGCAUUUUGAACAUCGAUCCGCAUCGCCUUGUGUACGUAUCAGCGGAUCAAUGUCUGGCUGAAAGAGAAAUCACCUGCUAAAACAGUUGGGAAAGAGCUACAGACACAAUGUUAAUAUUCAUCAAAACAAAUCCUCCCUCUCCCCCCCCCCCCCACGCUGCCCAGGAACCGACUGAGAGACAAGCGGCAGCGUCUGCUGAGCAGCCAGAAAUAGGACAACCCUGGAGGAAGCAGUUGGUUAAUGAAACCAUCGCCAAUGAAGUUUGUGGAUGCCUCGGAGAAAGAAAGAAGUGGCCGGCUUGAGCAUGUGUACAAUAUGGACUUCCUUGCCAGACUGGGACCUACUUAAAUUAUGGCAUUUUUCAUCUUGAUUGUCAAUUGUAAUCUGCUGGAAGUUAGAGAAGAAGAGGCUGCAAUUACACUUUGUACAUUAAAGUACCACAAGAUCUAUACACAGCAACCAGGCUGGAUUUUAUUGUGCUGGGCUGUUACCCUGUUUCCUACUUGUCUCACCCUGGUACAGAUUUCAGACUUGCAAAAUGUGCCAGCUUCUUGCACAUUCAGAGACUGAAGGCUUCUGUCUACAAAGGAAGGAGAGCUGGGGUAGUAGCAACACAUUACUUCAGACUGCCCUGCUACUGAACCUUAACCUUUAUGGAGAAUCCAGCCUUUAAGAGUAACAGGGAGCUUGGUUUCUGUGCAUACCCAGUUCCUGGCUCCUCUUCUGAGGAGGUUUAUCCUAAGUCUUCAUAAACAUACAAAACUUGUACUUCAUGUUAUGAUAAUUCCACACUUAUGGGCAUAGCCUAAAAUGCUAGAUUAGCUGUAACACAAGUAGGCAACCAAUAAAAAAUGAAUAAUGCUUUGCACUUAUCCAGUUUUGUUGAUCCAUAAAUCCUAAAUGCUUUACAUAUAUGGGUAAGUGUUAUUACCCAUUUUGGAGAGGGGUAGGAGAGGAAAACAGUUACAUAAAAUGUUCAAAGGACAUGCUUUUACAAUGGGCAAAACCAAGAAAAGCUCUUGGGUCUCUUGAGUUCCAGUUUGAUAGUUUACUGUGCACUGCUGCCAUAAAAAAAUAUUUCCAUGAGCUAAUUAACUCUCUACAACUAAUUGACCAUCUCUAAACAGUUUGUGAUUGAACAGAAACAUCCACUGCCCAGUGAUCUUCUCUUCUUAGUUUCUCCUCUUUGUAAAUAUCUACCAGUUGAGGAUCUGGACCUACAUUCCUACAAAAAGCACUUUGUCUACCUAUGCCAUUCUGCUCAGUUGCGUGUUCCUAAUUUUGCAUCCCCAUGAGUCCAACAUUUUGGUUACUAAAUGUUUA